GACAGAGGUCCCGAGCGUUAGGCGGAAUCACUGGGCUUAAAGCGUGUGUAGGCGGAUCGUUAAGUGCCUUGUGAAAUCCCAUGGCUUAACCAUGGAACUGCUCGGCAUACUGGCGAUCUUGAGCCACUUAGGGGCAACCGGAACAAAUGGUGGAGCGGUGAAAUGCGUAGAUAUCUGGAGGAACAUCGGUGGCGAAGGCGGCAUCCUGGACCGGUAUUGACGCUGAGGCGCGAAAGCCAGGGGAGCAAACGGG
rnacentral:rRNA from 1 species